rnacentral:rRNA from 1 species
CGUGCAGCUGGGUCUGCAAGUCAGAUGUGAAAUCCAUGGGCUCAACCCAUGAACUGCAUUUGAAACUGUAGAUCUUGAGUGUCGGAGGGGCAAUCGGAAUUCCUAGUGUAGCGGUGAAAUGCGUAGAUAUUAGGAGGAACACCAGUGGCGAAGGCGGAUUGCUGGACGAUAACUGACGGUGAGGCGCGAAAGUGUGGGGAGCAAACA